rnacentral:rRNA from 1 species
ACUCCUACGGGAGGCAGCAGUGGGGAAUUUUGGACAAUGGGCGAAAGCCUGAUCCAGCAAUGCCGCGUGUGUGAAGAAGGCCUUCGGGUUGUAAAGCACUUUUGUCCGGAAAGAAAUCCUUGGCUCUAAUACAGUCGGGGGAUGACGGUACCGGAAGAAUAAGCACCGGCUAACUACGUGCCAGCAGCCGCGGUAAUACGUAGGGUGCGAGCGUUAAUCGGAAUUACUGGGCGUAAAGCGUGCGCAGGCGGUUUGCUAAGACCGAUGUGGAAUCCCCGGGCUCAACCUGGGAACUGCAUUGGUGACUGGCAGGCUAGAGUAUGGCAGAGGGGGGUAGAAUUCCACGUGUAGCAGUGAAAUGCGUAGAGAUGUGGAGGAAUACCGAUGGCGAAGGCAGCCCCCUGGGCCAAUACUGACGCUCAUGCACGAAAGCGUGGGGAGCAAACAGGAUUAGAAACCCUUGUAGUCCCAUG